CUGGUGUACAGUUGAUUGAUGAACCCUGAGACUCAGCACUCUGGUGUCUUAUUUUUUCCUCUCUUUUUGGACAAAGAAAACAAACACGCAAGGACGAUUGAAGGAGAGGUUAAUUUUGGUCAUCAACUACUUGGCCUGGACUCACAAACAGGGCGCUCACAAACUAAGAUGGAACCAUGCUGCCAGCCAAAGGAGACCUGCGUACACAUGUCCUGGCAAAAAACUGUGACUCCUGUUGCUGUCAUCUAUUGGGGACUGCUCGACACGUGUCAAAUAAAUAACAGCGUGCUGCAAGCAUUUGCGGCGUGGAAGCCAUGGAUUGUGUCCUUGAGGGCAUUCCUCCCACCCCCUGACCCUCCACAUUGUACCUUGUUCUAUGAUAGAGAACACGAUUUCAUUUAUCAACAAGAAUUUUUGAAAAACUAUCAGACACUCAUGGUAUUUUACCAACUGAUAGAAUAGUGGUGGGAAGAGAGGGUGUUGCGGCAG